rnacentral:tRNA from 1 species
GUCGACGUAGCUCAGUUGGUAGAGCAACUGAUUCGUAAUCAGUAGGUCAUGGGUUCAACUCCCCUCGUCGGCACAA